UACGCAGGGGGGCUAGCGUUGUCCGGAAUCAUUGGGCGUAAAGCGCGCGUAGGCGGCCCAGUAAGUCCGUUGUAAAAAGUCAAAGGCUCAACCUUUGAAGCCGAUGGAUACUGCUGGGCUAGAGUCCGGAAGAGGCGAGUGGAAUUCCUGGUGUAGCGGUGGAAUGCGCAGAUAGUCAGGAGGAACACCGAUAGCGAAGGCA
rnacentral:rRNA from 1 species